CUGGCGGCGUGCUUAACACAUGCAAGUCGAACGAACCUUCGGGUUAGUGGCGGACGGGUGAGUAACGCGUGGGAAUCUGCCCUCAGGAGGGGGAUAACGGUUGGAAACGGCCGCUAAUACCCCAUAUGCCGAGAGGUGAAAUGAAUUUCGCCUGAGGAUGAGCCCGCGUCUGAUUAGCUAGUUGGUGAGGUAAGAGCUCACCAAGGCAUCGAUCAGUAGCUGGUCUGAGAGGAUGAUCAGCCACACUGGGACUGAGACACGGCCCAGACUUCUACGGGAGGCAGCAGUGGGGAAUUUUCCGCAAUGGGCGAAAGCCUGACGGAGCAACGCCGCGUGAGGGAUGAAGGCCUCUGGGCUGUAAACCUCUUUUAUCAAGGAAGAAGAUCUGACGGUACUUG
rnacentral:rRNA from 1 species